rnacentral:rRNA from 1 species
GACGAACGCUGGCGGCGUGCCUAACACAUGCAAGUCGAACGGAAAGGCCCUGCUUUUGUGGGGUGCUCGAGUGGCGAACGGGUGAGUAACACGUGAGUAACCUGCCCUUGACUUUGGGAUAACUUCAGGAAACUGGGGCUAAUACCGGAUAGGAGCUCCUGCUGCAUGGUGGGGGUUGGAAAGUUUCGGCGGUUGGGGAUGGACUCGCGGCUUAUCAGCUUGUUGGUGGGGUAGUGGCUUACCAAGGCUUUGACGGGUAGCCAGCCUGAGAGGGUGACCGGCCACAUUGGGACUGAGAUACGGCCCAGACUCCUACGGGAGGCAGCAGUGGGGAAUAUUGCACAAUGGGCGGAAGCCUGAUGCAGCAACGCCGCGUGCGGGAUGACGGCCUUCGGGUUGUAAACCGCUUUCGCCUGUGACGAAGCGUGAGUGACGGUAAUGGGUAAAGAAGCACCGGCUAACUACGUG